GCGCUGGCGGCGUGGUUUAGGCAUGCAAGUCGCGCGCGAAAGUGAACUUCGGUUCGCGAGUAGAGCGGCGAAAGGGUGAGUAACGCAUAGGCAAUCUACCCUCUACCCUGGUAUAGCGUCUGGAAACGGGCGGUAAUCCCGGAUAGUCUUGAAAGACGGCAUCGUCAUUCGAGUAAAGGAGGGGACCUUCGGGCCUUCCUGUAGAGGAGGAGCCUAUGUCCCAUCAGCUAGUUGGUAAGGUAAUGGCUUACCAAGGCAUCGACGGGUAGCCGGACUGAGAGGUUGGCCGGCCACACUGGGACUGAGACACUACCCAGACUCCUACGGGAGGCUGCAGUCGAGAAUCAUCCGCAAUGGGCGAAAGCCUGACGGUGCGACGCCGCGUGGAGGAUGAAGGCCUUCGGGUUGUAGACUCCUGUCAGGGGUUAGGAAACGCAAUGCGCUAAUAUCGUGUUGCUUGACAAAGGCCCCAGAGGAAGUCAUGGCUAACUCCGUGCCAGCAGCCGCGGUAAUACGGAGAUGGCAAGCGUUGCUCGGAAUCACUGGGCAUAAAGGGCGUCUAGGCGG
rnacentral:rRNA from 1 species